AGCAUCAUAGUCUGAGACCCCGAAACUAGACGAGCUACUCCGAAGCAGUCUAAAAGGACUAACCCGUCUCUGUGGCAAAAGAGUGGGAAGACUUCCGAGUAGAGGUGAAAAGCCUACCGAGCCUAGUUAUAGCUGGUUGCUUAAGAAAAGAAUAUGAGUUCAGCCUUAUAAGUUUCUCAAAAAUCAAAAUGAAAGAAUAAAGUAACACAUAAGAGUUAGUCGAAGGGGGUACAGCUCCUUCGAAAAAGAACACAACCUUACCCAGGUAAAUAAGGAUUAUACUAAAAAAGGACAUGACUUUCAACAGUGGGCCCGAAAGCAGCCACCUCUAAUAGAAAGCGUUAAAGCUCAAGAACAGCCACACCAAAAAUAAAAAUAACCACUCCUAAUUUCCUAAUAAUAUUAAGCUACCCUAUUUUAUAGGAGAAAUUAUGCUAAAAUGAGUAAUAAGAGAAACUAGACCCUCUCCGGGCACACGUGUAAAUUAGAGCGGACAAACCACUGACAACUAACGGACCCAAAAAAGAGGGUAAAACAACAAAACUCAAUAAACAAGAAAAACCUAUUAAAACAACCGUUAACCCAACACAGGAGUGCCACUUAAGGAAAGACUAAAAGGAGAAGAAGGAACUCGGCAAACACAAACCUCGCCUGUUUACCAAAAACACCGCCUCCUGCAAAUAGAAUGUAUUGGAGGUCCUGCCUGCCCAGUGACAAUAGGUUCAACGGCCGCGGUAUUUUGACCGUGCAAAGGUAGCGUAAUCACCUGUCUUUUAAAUAAAGACCUGUAUGAAUGGCAAGACGAGGGUUUUACUGUCUCCUCCCCCCAGUCAAUGAAAUUGAUCUACCCGUGCAGAAGCGGGUAUAAAAACAUAAGACGAGAAGACCCUAUGGAGGUUUAGGCACACAUCAAAUAUGUAAAAAACCAAAUCUUCCAAAUAGGCCUAAAAAAUGAGAAAAACAAGUAUUAAUGAUUAAUUGCCUUCGGUUGGGGCGACCACGGGGAAAAAUAAAACCCCCACAUGGAAUGGGUAAAAUUAUCCUAAGCCAAGAAAAACAAUUCUAAGCAACAAAAUUUUUGACCAAUAAACGACCCAGGGACAACAUCCCUGAGCAAUGAACCAAGUUACCCUAGGGAUAACAGCGCAAUCCUUUCCCAGAGCCCAUAUCAACGAAAGGGUUUACGACCUCGAUGUUGGAUCAGGGCAUCCUAACGGUGCAGCCGCUGU
rnacentral:rRNA from 1 species